CGCGCCCGUCGCCGCCUCGCCCCGGCUGGCGGCCCCCGUGGCGGUGCUGCCUUCGCAUGGGCGGCCGGCACGGGCUGCGCGCCCCAGCGAGCUUGCAGAAAGCUGCUUACCUGCUCCAGCCGCAGAAAAGUUGUUGAGCAGUGCCUCCUAAUGCUUGCGUGAAGGGCAUCCUGCAGGUGUUGCACCGUGCUGCGAGCAUUUGCAUGCUGUGUAAAUGAUACAGCGGGGUGGGGAGAAGCGCUGGGGUUUUGCCGUGCGGCGUCCUGCUGGCAAACCCAUCCCGCGGCAGCGGCAGGAUUUGAGACCUCAUCUGAGAAGACAGCUGUCAGGUUCCUGCAGACGAAACCUCCGGCAUGCAUUAGGGAUGCUAUGGAAAUAGUGCUGUUCAUCCCACGUCUUCAUAGGAUUUGGUUCCACCCACUGAAAAGGAUUGUCCUUCACCAGGAGUGCUGUUCUAUGUAUAUGGAAAUAGCAACAAAUGAAGCAUAAAGGAAGCCUUUCCAGUCUACUGUGAAUGUUGGAGUCUCACCAUCUUCUGCAGUUUGUCAGCUGUCUACUUUGGAGUGUCCCCUGACAUGCUGGAUGAAAAGAAGAGCAGUCAUUUAUCCAACACAUACUGAUUUCUUCAAGAUGCUGCUGUUGGUCUGACUUCUAGGGAUGAAAUUCUAUCCCCAUAUUUACAGUAGGUGGAAUUCUAGUGUCCACAGGCUUUUAGUUAGGUAGGAACAAGAAAUUUUGUCACUGCUUCUUAAACAGGAAUACCAGAGGCAUGAUUAUUCAAAAGUCCUGGAGCUCAUGCUUCCAAGGACCAUAUUCACAAACAGUGUAAUGCACACUGCCUACAUCAUUACAAAGAAUUGUAGUUACUAUAUUAAACAAUAAUUAUUUUCCCAAUAUUCAUAUGAUUUUUAAUUUACCUCCCAUUUUGCCCUAUUUUCUACCUUGGAAGAAAAAGAAAACAAUUAUGCUGUACGGUCACCAAGGCAGGCAAUGUUGGAGCUAGGCAGACUCAAGCUGAUACAUCAUCUUGGACAUCUACAGUGAACUAGAUGUUUAUUACAGUAUGAGACAACCACUGCUUAUUAUCUUUAAAAUUCAGUUGUUUCUCUGUCAGUUUGUACGACCUAUUGCAUUAAUUAUAGUUAUA